rnacentral:rRNA from 1 species
UACAGAGGUCCCAAGCGUUGUUCGGAUUCAUUGGGCGUAAAGGGUGCGUAGGUGGCGCUGUAAGUCGGGUGUGAAAUUUCGGAGCUUAACUCCGAAACUGCAUUCGAUACUGGCGUGCUUGAGGACUGGAGAGGAGACUGGAAUUCAUGGUGUAGCAGUGAAAUGCGUAGAGAUCAUGAGGAAGACCAGUGGCGAAGGCGGGUCUCUGGACAGUUCCUGACACUGAGACACGAAGGCCAGGGGAGCAAACGGG